rnacentral:rRNA from 1 species
UAGCUCAGUAACACGUGGAGAACGUGCCCUUUAGUGGGGGAUAAUCUCGGGAAAUUGAGGAUAAUACCCCAUAGGUCAUGGGAUCUGGAAUGACCCAUGGCUGAAAGUUCCGGCGCUUAAGGAUCGCUCUGCGGCCUAUCAGGUAGUAGUGGGUGUAACGUACCCCCUAGCCUACGACGGGUAUGGGCCUUGAGAGAGGGAGCCCAGAGUUGGAUUCUGAGACACGAACCCAGGCCCUACGGGGCGCAGCAGUCGCGAAUACUUCACACUGGGGGGAACCCCGAUGAGGGAAUUCCUAGUGCUUGGGCAUUUGUCCAAGCUUUUCCCGAGCGUAGAUAACUCGGGGAAUAAGGGCUGGGUAAGACGGGUGCCAGCCGCCGCGGUAAUACCUGCAGCCCGAGUGGUGGUCGAUUUUAUUGAGUCUAAAGCGUUCGUAGCCGGUCCGUUAAAUCCUUGGGUAAAUCGGGAAGCUCAACUUUCCGACUUCCGAGGAGACUGGCGGACUUGGGACCGGGAGAGGCCAGAGGUACUUCUGGGGUAGGGGUUAAAUCCUGGUAAUCCUUAAAAGAAACACCGGUUGGGCGAAGCGUUCUGGCCAGAACGGAUCCGAACGGGGGAGGGACAGAGCCUUGGGUUCCCAAACGGGAUAUGAUUACCCCGGUUAUUCC